AGUGAACGCUGGCGGUAGGCCUAACACAUGCAAGUCGAACGGCAGCACAGGAGAGCUUGCUCUCUGGGUGGCGAGUGGCGGACGGGUGAGGAAUACAUCGGAAUCUACUCUGUCGUGGGGGAUAACGUAGGGAAACUUACGCUAGUACCGCAUACGACCUACGGGUGAAAGCAGGGGACCUUCGGGCCUUGCGCGAUUGAAUGAGCCGAUGUCGGAUUAGCUAGUUGGCGGGGUAAAGGCCCACCAAGGCGACGAUCCGUAGCUGGUCUGAGAGGAUGAUCAGCCACACUGGAACUGAGACACGGUCCAGACUCCUACGGGAGGCAGCAGUGGGGAAUAUUGGACAAUGGGCGCAAGCCUGAUCCAGCCAUACCGCGUGGGUGAAGAAGGCCUUCGGGUUGUAAAGCCCUUUUGUUGGGAAAGAAAUCCAGCUGGCUAAUACCCGGUUGGGAUGACGGUACCCAAAGAAUAAGCACCGGCUAACUACGUGCCAGCCGCCGCAGUAA
rnacentral:rRNA from 1 species